ACUGGGCCUUGAAGUCGGGGCUCGUCGACGCUUGGAUCGAGGCCUGAUCGCCGUAAGACGAGGCCCCGAAGUAGUCCGCCUGAACUGUCGCGACCCAUGGGCCUACCGGUCGUGCGGCCCAGUUAUUGACGCCAGCCGCCACACGCCAAGGAUCGCGUGCGGCCUCGACCACGAGAUCCAUGCCCCCCGGCUUGGUCCCCCGCCGCAACGCCCCGGCGACCGCCAAACCGGGAGUGGCGCGCGCUGUCGCAUAGGCGCGCUCCACCGCUACCGCGGGUAGUGGUCGCAUGCCCACGAGCGGCUGGAAGAUCCGGGUGGCUUGUCGCCGCGCUGAGGCGUCUUGCCCCAGCACGGUCAGGUCGCUGAUCUGACCCUCGAUGACGUCCAGACGAACAACGCCAUCGACGACGGUUUGGGCCGGCGGAACAACGACGACGAAAGGAUAGCCGCGUCCGGCGUAGAUGGCCUCGGCGUUGCGGGCGAUCGUCUUAAGAUCGGCCAAGGCGACGGGCUUGCCGACAAAGUUCUGCCAAGCGGGCUGCAGGUCGUGGGGCGGAACAACC
rnacentral:sRNA from 1 species